AGUCCGGUUGCUAUGGUGAGCCCCGGGUUGGAGAGAUAGCCGUGGUGCUGCCAUGGUAAAACCUGGAAGCCUGCUCCCAGAAAUGCGUCAUCUGAGGUGGACCAGGAGCUCCGGUGUGUCUGAGAGCGGCGUGGCAUCUAUGGAUCGUGUAUAUCAAGGGGCAAAAGUCAAACUUUUGAAAAUGAAUCGUGACCUAUAGCAAUGGCCAGAAAAGUGUACAUAGCCUCUGACAUAUUUGCUCUGCUGCUCAGUCUUCAAUGAAAUAUCAAAUUCACCCA